AUUGAACGCUGGCGGCAGGCCUAACACAUGCAAGUCGAGCGGAUGAGAAGAGCUUGCUCUUCGAUUCAGCGGCGGACGGGUGAGUAAUGCCUAGGAAUCUGCCUGGUAGUGGGGGACAACGUUUCGAAAGGAACGCUAAUACCGCAUACGUCCUACGGGAGAAAGCAGGGGACCUUCGGGCCUUGCGCUAUCAGAUGAGCCUAGGUCGGAUUAGCUAGUUGGUGAGGUAAUGGCUCACCAAGGCUACGAUCCGUAACUGGUCUGAGAGGAUGAUCAGUCACACUGGAACUGAGACACGGUCCAGACUCCUACGGGAGGCAGCAGUGGGGGAAUAUUGGACAAUGGGCGAAAGCCUGAUCCAGCCAUGCCGCGUGUGUGAAGAAGGUCUUCGGAUUGUAAAGCUCUUUUGUUCAGGGAAGGAAACGGUGAGUUCUAAUACAGCUUGCUAAUGACGGUACCUGAAGAAUAAGCACCGGCUAACUACGUGCCA
rnacentral:rRNA from 1 species